AGCAUACUGUCAAAAUAUGGAAUCUUGUGUUUGGCAUACCAACUGUACAAAUUUAAUGAUGGGAUUUGUCCGAAUAGAGCGACUACGCAGGGGUUGAAAGGCUUCCCUGUAAAGUGUGCUCAACAAGUCGGUGCCCGCGAGUGUGGCUAUUACAUUAUGAAGUUCAUGCAUGAAAUAGUCACGUUACACCAUAACUCUGAUGAGCGGUUAGAUAAUGUUCGUUCUUUUACCAUAUGUUAGUUGAACUACUAAUACUAGUACUUGUACGUAGUAGAAUUCUUAAUUUACAAGUAGCAUUACUUAUCAUGUUACUUAUUUCAGGCUUACACUCCAAGAA